UACGUAGGGUGCGAGCGUUAAUCGGAAUUACUGGGCGUAAAGCGUGCGCAGGCGGUUGCUAAGACCGAUGUGAAAUCCCCGGGCUUAACCUGGGAACUGCAUUGGUGACUGGCAGGCUAGAGUAUGGCAGAGGGGGGUAGAAUUCCACGUGUAGCAGUGAAAUGCGUAGAGAUGUGGAGGAAUACCGAUGGCGAAGGCAGCCCCCUGGGCCAAUACUGACGCUCAUGCACGAAAGCGUGGGGAGCAAACAGG
rnacentral:rRNA from 1 species